CUGCCAGUCAUAUGCUUGUCUCAAAGAUUAAGCCAUGCAUGUCUGAGUACCUGCCGACCUUAGGUGAAACCGCGAAUGGCUCAUUAAAUCAGUCAUGAUUUACAGGAUGUUAAACAUCCUUUACUCGGAUAACUGUGGUAAUUCUAGAGCUAAUACGUGCAACUAGUCUCCGACCCCGUAGACGUCGGGCUCGUUCCGUCGUCUUCGGGGGAAGGGCGCAUUUGUUAGACCAAAAACCGGGCGAGGACCCAAAGGGAGAGGUCUAAACGGGCGAAGUAACGCAGACGGUUAUUCCUACUCCUGUCCAACCCAUUAUGGUUUUGUGGUGACUCUGGAUAACUACAGCUGAGCGCUGAGGUCUUUGUACCGGCGCCGUAUCCUCCGAGUGUCUGCCUUAUCAGCUCUCGAUUGUAGGAUAUUCGCCUACAAUGGCUGUAACGGGUAACGGGGAAUCAGGGUUCGAUUCCGGAGAGGGAGCCUGAGAAACGGCUACCACAUCUAAGGAAGGCAGCAGGCACGCAAAUUACCCACUCCCAGCUCGGGGAGGUAGUGACGAGAAAUAACGAUGUGGGACUCUUCCGAGGCCUCACAAUCGGAAUGAGUCCGAUUA
rnacentral:rRNA from 1 species